rnacentral:misc_RNA from 1 species
AUUGCGACCCGACUUGAGUGGAUCCCGAUUUAAAAUCGGGAUGGAACGGAAGGCGGGAAAAGUC